GGUCUGGAUAGGUAUAAACAGUAUAGUGGUGGGGUCUGGAUAGGUAUAAACAGUAUAGUAGUGUAUCUGUAGGGUCUGGAUAGGUAUAAACAGUAUAGUAGUGUAUCUGAAGGGUCUGGAUAGGUAUAAACAGUAUAGUGGUGGAUCUGUCAGGUCUGGAUAGGUAUAAACAGUAUAGUAGUGGAUCUGUAGGGUCUGGAUAGGUAUAAACAGUAUAGUGGUGUAUCUGUAGGGUCUGGAUAGGUAUAAACAGUAUAGUAGUGGAUCUGUAGGGUCUGGAUAGGUAUAAACAGUAUAGUGGUGGGGUCUGGAUAGGUAUAAACAGUAUAGUGGUGGGGUCUGGAUAGGUAUAAACAGUAUAGUAGUGGGGUCUGGAUAGGUAUAAACAGUAUAGUAGUGUAUCUGCAGGGUCUGGAUAGGUAUAAACAGUAUAGUGGUGGGGUCUUGAUAGGUAUUAACAGUAUAGUAGUGGAUCUGUAGGGUCUGGAUAGGUAUAAACAGUAUAGUAGUGUAUCUGUAGGGUCUGGAUAGGUAUAAACAGUAUAGUGGUGGAUCUGUAGGGUCUGGAUAGGUAUAAACAGUAUAGUGGUGGAUCUGUAGGGUCUGGAUAGGUAUAAACAGUAUAGUAGGGGAUCUGUAGGGUCUGGAUAGGUAUUAACAGUAUAGUGGUG
ensembl:lncRNA